UUGGGAAUUGUACACAAUGGGCGCAAGCCUGAUGUCGCGACGCCGCGUGGAGGAAGAAGGUUUUCGGAUUGUAAACUCCUUUUCCCAGGGAAAAUUGUGAUGGUACCUGGGGAAUAAGGACCUGCUAACUACGUGCCAGCAGCCGCGGUAAUACGUAGGGUCCAAGCGUUAUCCGGAUUUAUUGGGCGUAAAGCACAUGUAGGUGGUUUUGUACGUCUUGUCUUAAAGCUCUGGGCUCAACCCAGAAUCUGGACGAGAUACUGCAAGACUAGUGGUCAGCAGGGGCAAACGGAAUUCCCGGUGUAGGAGUGAAAUCCGUUGAUAUCGGGAGGAACACCAAUGGCGAAGGCAGUUUGCUAGGCUGAUUCAGACACUGAGAUGUGAAAGCGUGGGGAGCGAACGGG
rnacentral:rRNA from 1 species